rnacentral:tRNA from 1 species
GGGGUUAUAGCUCAGUGGUAGGGCAUGUGCUUGGUGUACAUGAGGUCCUGGGUCCAAUUCCCAGUGCCUCUG